GACGAACCACACAAACGUUAUUCGGAAUUACUGGGCUUAAAGGGUGCGUAGGCGGCGCGGAAAGUAGGGUGUGAAAUCCCUCGGCUCAACCGAGGAAUUGCGCCCUAAACUACCGUGCUCGAGGGAGAUAGAGGUGAGCGGAACUUAGGGUGGAGCGGUGAAAUGCGUUGAUAUCCUAAGGAACACCGGUGGCGAAAGCGGCUACACUGGAUCUCUUCUGACGCUGAGGCACGAAAGCUAGGGUAGGCGAACGGGG
rnacentral:rRNA from 1 species